rnacentral:rRNA from 1 species
UACGGGGGGGGCAAGCGUUGUUCGGAAUUACUGGGCGUAAAGGGCUCGUAGGUGGCCAACUAAGUCAGACGUGAAAUCCCUCGGCUUAACCGGGGAACUGCGUCUGAUACUGGAUGGCUUGAGUGUGGGAGAGGGACGCGGAAUUCCAGGUGUAGCGGUGAAAUGCGCAGAUAUCAGGAGGAACACCGAUGGCGAAGGCAGGUCUCUGGGCAUUAACUGACGCUGAGGAGCGAAAGCAUGGGGAGCGAACAGG